UUCCCAAGGUGCACUGCCCAGUGGGUUGUGGAGAUUUGGUCUUCAGGCUCAGUAACCUGGGGUCCAGGGAGUGUUCCAGGAGGACCGGGGUGAUCCCUUGCCCACCCUGGCCCGGCAGGCGGUGGAGGCUGGGCGAGGCGCAGGGUGAUGGGGUAGAAAUGAUUUCCUUUUGAGUAACAGCAUUUACUGAAAAGCAAUUCUGCUUUCGACACAGAAGUUCACCACCAUGCAGGCGAGCGCCUAAAAUACCUUCCCGGGCCAACCGCAGCGGCCUCCGUGCUGCCUGCCUCCGCCCCGGACGGUUUCAAUUUGGUGUUGAGGGAAAAUCAAAUACCACAACCUUGGGAGGUGAGGCGGGGCCGGGUGGCACCCACCACAGACCCGGGCCCACGGUGGCUCCCACCACAGACCCCGGGCCCACAGUGGCUCCCGGCUGUUACUGGAAAGACAGUGCACACACUCAGAGCGAAACCAGCCGCCCGGCAACUUCUCUGCCCUUUUACAAGAAAAUGAAAGUGAUUGUGCCUGUGGUGAGCAGCCCAGGGAGCUGCUCCGCGGCCGGCCCUGUCACCCCUCUGCUGGCACUGCUGUCCUUUCAAUGGCUUGAUUUAUUCCAGUGCCAAAACUCUGCCCCGCACACGGGAGAGGGACGCCCACCCGCCCCAGGUGGUGCAGCCCCAGGAAGGUGGCUGGCGGGGAGGGAUGGGCCUCAGGCAGGACGGGCCGUGUGGGGGGCCGAAGACCAGCACCCCCACCCCAGGCUGACCUCACUCACCCCAGACCCCGGAAAAUUCCCACCUCUGUCCUGUGCUGUCUGUGUGAUGAUGGGAGAGUGACUUUGCCUCUCUGUGCCUCAAUUUCUCACCUUUUAAGACGGGGAUAACAACAGAAAGUGGUCAUGACCUUUCUUUGCUAAAACCCUCCCAUGGCUGCCAGGUCACUUGGUGCAAAAACCCAAGUUCCCUCCGAGGCUGGCCAGGCCCUCCAGUCAGUCCUCAGCUCCUAUUGCCACCUCGUCACCUUCCAGCCUGCCUCAUUCCCCCCACCCAGGGCUUCUGUUCCUCCAAUGUGCUAGAUACUACUGGCCCCAGGGCCUUUGCACUAGCUGCUCCCUCUGCCUAACUCAUCCUUCUUCCAGAAGCCUGGGCCUGCUCUGAUUUCCCGUCUCCCUUGCUCCCCAGGGCCCCUUGUCUUUUAUCUGAGUUCUCUGCACAACGCUUACUCCUACAAGACAUUAUACUCUGGGGCUCCCACCCUCCAUUCUACAAACUCCAGAACCAUAGAGUGCAGUUCUUCAUAAAGUCUUCAGACAUCGACACAGUAGGAGCUCAUGCAAGUUUGUUGAAAUCUUGUUAAGUUGCUAAGUUGCUCAGGCUGGCCUCAAACUUGAGAUCCUCCUGCCUCAGCCUCCCAGAGUGCUGGGAAGACAGAUGUGUGCCACCACGCCCGGCUGGAAGGCUGCUUGUGACAGGUGCAGACCCAGGUGGGAAGACCUUUGGGCCACAGCUUUGCACCAGUCUGUGGGCUCCCGGUGGCUGGGCUGUGGCCCUGGUGACCUGGAGUCUGUCUGAGAGGCGUGGCUGGGGGAACCUCAGCCCUCAAGAGGGGCUGUGGCUUUGAGGCUGGAGACCUGGGUCUCCCCGGCCCCAUCGCCUCCCAGAACAGGAAAGGCCUGAGCACUGGAGAGGAGCUUUCUCCAUGCUCUGCUUCUGGAAAGUUCUGUCAGAAAGGGAGGUGUUUGAGGAGUUGCUGGGCAGGGGAGGGGUCUGAGACCAGGCUCCCAGCCAGGUCCUGGGAAGGCGGCCUUUGGGAGGAGUCAGUCCCGGGCUCCCUGCAGGCCUGCCCACGACCUCAGGGAGGUUCAGCCCUGCCUGCCUCAGUUUCCCUGUUCACACUUCUCAGAGAAGCCAAGGAGUCUGGCAUGAACAACCCAGGAGAACCCUGGCUCUUCCCAAACCCCCUCUGUGCCCAGGAUGAUACCCCCCCACCUGCAGGCCCGGGCUGGGCCCGUUUCUUGUGCGCCCGCCCUGCUGCCCUGCCUGCCACCCGCUUCAGAGCUGCCUCCGUGCAAACUGCAAAGCAGGGCCCAGGUGAGACACUGGUGACCGUAUCUUUGAGACCCGGAGCAGACCUGGAGGAGCUGCCCCAGGCUAAGUCCCCUCUGGAGAUGGGUUUGCUGUGGCCCUCGAAGUAUUUUUAAGAACUGAGUCAGGGGCUGAUAUUUCAAACAUGAGGCUGUUCUACCUAAAACCCAUUUCUCUGGAUCCUCUUGGCACACAGGAAGAUCUGGCCCACCGCAGGGAGCUGGAAAGGGGUCCCAGAUCAGAGCAGCCUGUAGCAGUCACUCUCCUGCUUACCAGUCCUUGCUUGGUUCAUUUUCUUCAUACAAGUUGCCUGCCAGGGUCUUGAAGUAUGAAUAGGAGUUUGCCAGCUAAAAAGGAAUAAAAAGGAAUUCCAGGAAAGAGGAAUAGCGCGCAUCAGGGAGACUCAUCUAUUCAAUAUUCACUCUACAAGUCACCGAUCAGUGCUGACUGUAUGCACUGGGCAGAGAGCGGGAAGCCAGGUGGAUCCACGUCCUGGCCGCAGCCUAGGGGUUCUCAGUCAGGAGCAGUUUUUAGUUGCUCUAGAGACACCUGGCUCUGGGUGGGGGUACCGAGCUCACUGGACAGUGCUCAGGGCGCCCAGGCAGGAUCCAAGGCCGAGACCCCGCAGCAGGAGCCUGACACCAACUGGACAGGCCAGGCAGUACAGACUUCGCACCCCACUCAGCUCCCAGGGCUGGGCCAGAGGGGACCACAGCUGCCUGCACAGGGGCCACCCGAGACGGCAGACGAAGAAGCCAGACAGCACGGUCUCCGAGGGGUUGGCCCAGGGUCUCCAACCUCUCUUGCGAGGGUCCUGGAGCUCCUUGGAAAUGACAAUGGCCUCUGACUGUCUUCUGUUAUUCAAUCAACAAAUAUUUCUUCAGAAAGGACCUCUCCAGGGUCAGCUGCCACAAGUCGUGUGGCACAUGGUGGGUGCAAGGACGGUAUGGGCAGAGAAAGAAUGGAAGGGGUAAAGGAGGAAACAAGCCUAGCAGGUGAGUGCCAUCACCGAGCGCCAGCUGUGUGCUGGGCCCCUCCCGUGUAUGAGCGUUCUACAGAUCCAGAGGCGGGCCAGUGACCACCCCAGUCCAAAGCCAGCAGGCCCAGUGCCUGCCGGGUUCCGGCUGUGCCCACUGCUUUGGUGCUGUGUGUGCUCUGACCCGGGCCAUUGUGCCGCCCCCUGGCAGGCAGCUGCCGUCACUUUGCGACAGGACGACAAGGAGACCAAGGCUCAGACAGGGAACGCCACUUCACCAAACUCACACAGCGCCAGCCUUUCCGAACAGCAGUCCUGUCCCCUGGAGCCCUGACUGCGGCCCCUGGAGUGCUACCAGUCCCGGAGUGGGGCAGGGAAGGUGGCUAGGGAGCUGCGCCCCCGAGAUCUGCAGGGGGAGCUGGGGUCCUGGGUGGGCAGACGGGUAGGCAGCUUCCGCCCCGUGGGCUGCACCCCCGCCAGCGCAGCCCGUCCAGAGGUGCCCCACGGGCUGACAACAGCCCUUUGUGUGGAUGCCCGGGGGAGGGUGAGGCAGGUGGCACCGUGCUCCACCAUCCUGGCUAAGCAAGCGCAGCUCAGGCUCCCGAGGGUGUGUGUGUGUGUGUGUGUGGGGGGGGCGCGUGCAUGCCAGCGUGCGUGCGUGCGUGCGUGCGUGCAUGCGUGCGCAUGCGCUCUGGUCCAUGCUGGCUCACACCAUGGCUUCCAGCUCUCGUGCCCACGCAUGCGCACUUCCGUGGCUGCGAGUCCGAGCUGGGCUGCAGCUUGGCGUCCACCCCUCAUCGCCAGCUCUAACCGCCUGCGGUGUCCGCCUGGGAGCUGCUGGUCACCUGCACCAUGGGCCUCGCCUGUGCCCGGUCGCGGCUGAGAUGCUGCCACAGCGGGCGCGCUGGGCUGGCAGGGUUUCGUGGCCAGGCCUCAGCUGCAGGUCCUGGUGGGGCCUGUGCUGAAGACAGGGAUCUUGGAGUCCAGACAGCAACCAAGACUCUGAGGCUGAGGACUUGGGUUCGAAUUCUGCCUCUGCCGCUGAACAGCUGUGUGGCCUUGGGGAAUCGCUUCGGCUCUCUGAGCCCAUUUCCUCAUUCGCUGCCAAGUGGGAUUGAGGUCGCGUGUUCCCCAGGGCUGCAGCACCAGCCAGCCUCGUAACAGCAGCAUCCGGCAUCCGUUGCAUGACACAUCACUGAGUGUGUCCUCACUGCGGUCCUGGUGCCUGGGCACGAAAGUAGGACCUUGGAGAGUUGUGUUGGGGACAGCAUCCUGCAGGUGGGGGUCAUGCAGUGUGUCCUCAGCGACUCGGGCUUAAAAGGCGCCAGGCUCCCGGUGGAUAUGGGAUCCCCUCCCUUCCUGCAGUUCUGCCCAGCUUCCUGGUCUGCUCAGCCAUCAGGCCUGGACCCCAGCCUCCAGCAUCAGCCUCGGGGGCUCAUGCAGGAGCUCUUGGGAGGGACUGGUGACUCAGUUUCCCUGCCUUCCUGCAAUGGACCCACAGGCUUCCCUGCUAUUUCUGGAUAUUCCUUGAUACUGGGGCCUGGCACCCCACUUCAGGGACAGCAAAUGACCUCCUGGGUGGAACAAGACCCUUGGCAUCCCUGACAGAACGUCUCGCAGGAAUCCCCAGGUCUCUGUGCAGAUCAGAGCUGUUCACUGGGUGUGGGUGUGGGUGUGGGUGUGUGGGUCCUGGCGAUUGCACCCAGGGCCUUCACAGCCAGCUGUACCCCUGCCCCUUUUUAUUUCACUGUGAGCUGAGGUCCUACUAAGCCUCUAAAUUGCUUGGGCUGGGCUUGAGCCUGUGGUUCUCCUGCCUCAGCCUCCCAGGCUGCUGACAUUAUAGGUGCGCACCGGCACUCCUGACUGAAGCCCACAUCCAUGUCCUGUUUGUCCUCGGAUGAACACAUGGGCCGUCUCUGCCCCUUGGCUGGUAUCAGUAGAGCGGCUGUGGACCUGAAGUGGCCAAUGUGUCCCGAGACUCUGGAUAAAUAUCCCUGGGGAGACUGCUGGGCCAUUGUGCUCAGUGACAUAGCAAGUCACAGAAGGACAAUGCUAUGAUUCCAGUAGGGGGAAUGCGGGCUGUUGGCUGCCAGGACCUGGGGAGAGGAGGCCAUAGGGAGCUGCUAUUUCAUGGGUAUGAAGUUUCAGUCAUGGAGGUUGAUUACAUUCUAGGAGUCUGCUGUGCAACUUCAUGCCUGUAGUUAACCACACUACAAGACACUUCUUAGAUUAAAAAUAUAUAUAUUGGCUUUUAUCAUUCUGGUGUUAUUGGGGAGGGGUUGUGAAGUCUGGAGCAGUAACAGCCACAGUGAGUCAAUGAGGAGAACCAGCCAGGGAAUAAAGCCCAAGCCCAGACCUGGGUCCUCACGGGCGCCUCUGAGCGGUGCCAUUAACCAGUCCCUGAGAUAACAAGAUUCUUUAUUUAAAGCCGUUUUAGGCUGAGUGUGGAGAGCACUGGAUCACGCUGGCAAGCCUGUAGCUAAGAUGUUGCUCCUAAAUUGCCCUUGCUGUCCCACAGCCGCCUCUCGGUCACACACAGGACCCUCACCCCGCUGCCAGGAAGGCUGGAGGCCCGUGUCCUGGUCACAUCCUGGGUGCCCACCGGACUGGAGGCCUCGGCUGUGAGACCUGCUGGAAACCAAGGCUGACACCCAAGCAAGAAAAGACGCCACCAGGAGAAGCUUGUGCCCUGCGACUCCGCUGUGGGGGGCCUCGGGUUCCUCCUCCAGGCAAACUGGCGCCGCUGCCGCACCUCCCACAGAGCACCGGGCCUGGGGACCCUCCAGCGUGAGGCCCACACCACCCCCAGCGUCCCUGGGCUCGCAGGUACCCGAAGGCCCUGCGGUCCCCACACAGGUUGAGCAACGCCGCCGUGGACGUUUCCAGCUCGCGCUGACCGUGAUUCACCUACUUCCCCUCACGUUUGUUGGGCUGCGGGUGACUUGUCAUCUUUUAGGGGACAUCAUGACCUUUCUGGCGACCUC